rnacentral:rRNA from 1 species
UAGGGAAUCUUCGGCAAUGGGGGGAACCCUGACCGAGCAACGCCGCGCGAGUGAAGAAGGUUUUCGGAUCGUAAAGCUCUGUUGUUAAGGAAGAACGAGUGUGAGAAUGGAAAGUUCAUGCUGUGACGGUACUUAACCAGAAAGGGACGGCUAACUACGUGCCAGCAGCCGCGGUAAUACGUAGGUCCCGAGCGUUGCCCGGAUUUAUUGGGCGUAAAGCGAGCGCAGGCGGUUAGAAAAGUCUGAAGUGAAAGGCAGUGGCUCAACCAUUGUAGGCUUUGGAGACUGUUUAACUUGAGUGCAGAAGGGGAGAGUGGAAUUCCAUGUGUAGCGGUGAAAUGCGUAGAUGUAUGGAGGAACACCGGUGGCGAAAGCGGCUCUCUGGUCUGUAACUGACGCUGAGGCUCGAAAGCGUGGGGAGCGAACAGG